ensembl:lncRNA
AUUAUACUGUAUUAGAACACAACUGUACUUUAGAACCAGAAGAGACUCCACUAUCAACAUGAGAAAUGAUGGUCAACUGUAUAGACACACAUAUGCUGGGAUUCAAUCCAAUACUGUAUAGACACACAUAUGCUGGGAUUCAAUCCAAUACUGUAUAGACACACAUAGGCUGGGAUUCAAUCCAAUACUGUAUAGACACACAUAGGCUGGGAUUCAAUCCAAUACUGUAUAGACACACAUAGGCUGGGAUUCAAUCCAAUACUGUACAGACACAUAGGCUGGGAUUCAAUCCAAUACUGUACAGACACAUAGGCUGGGAUUCAAUCCAAUACUGUAUAGACACAUAGGUUGGGAUACAAUCCAAUACUGUAUAGACAGACAGGCUGGGAUUCAAUCCAAUACUGUAUAGACAGACACACAGACUGGGAUUCAAUCCAAUACUGUACAGACAGACACAUAGGCUGGGAUUCAAUCCAAUACUGUAUAGACACACACAGGCUGGGAUUCAAACCAAUACUGUAUAGACAGACACACAGGCUGGGAUUCAAUCCAAUACUGUACAGACAGACACAUAGGCUGGGAUUCAAUCCAAUACUGUACAGACAGACACAUAGGCUGGGAUUCAAUCCAAUACUGUAUAGACACACACAGGCUGGGAUUUAAUCCAAUACUGUAUAGACACACAGACUGGGAUUCAAUCCAACACUGUACAGACAGACACAUAGGCUGGGAUUCAAUCCAUUACUGUAUAGACACACACUGGCUGGGAUUCAAUCCAAUACUGUAUAGACAGACACACAGGCUGGGAUUCAAUCCAAUACUGUACAGACAGACACAUAGGCUGGGAUUCAAUCCAAUACUGUACAGACAGACACACAGGCUGGGAUUCAAUCCAAUACUGUACAGACAGACACACAGGCUGGGAUUCAAUCCAAUACUGUACAGACAGACACACAGGCUGGGAUUCAAUCCAAUACUGUAUACACACACACAGGCUGGGAUUCAAUCCAAUACUGUAUAGACAGACACACAGGCUGGGAUUCAAUCCAGUACUGUAUACACACACACAGGCUGAUUUUCAAUCCAAUACUGUAUAGACACACACGGGCUGAUAUUCAAUCCAAUACUGUAUACACACACACAGGCUGGGAUUCAAUCCA